GCUGAGCCUCCUGCAAAAGUUUGCCGGCUUCCGCAGUGAUGGAUCACCGUUUUAGUGGCAUUUAAAUCCCCGGCGCUCCGCCGUCUAGGUGACGCGCAGUCGCCCCCCCAGGCAGCCUAGGCGGCGGCAGCUGCUGCGGCGACUGCAAAGGCCGAUUUGGAGUGCUGGAGCGAAGAAGAGCAAAAGCUGCGUUCUGCGCGCGCCCGACUCCGCUGCCCGCCCCGCCAGGCCUCCGGGAGGUGGGGGCUGGGAGGCGUCCCCCGCUCCCGCCCCCUCCCCACCGUUCAAUGAAAGAUGAACUGGCGAGAGGUCUGUUUUGCCUGAACCCAUCAACAGCUGGGAGAUUAAUCAACCACACUGAAAAUGUGGAGGGAUUUAUGGGGGAGGGGGUUGAAAUGUGGGUGUUUGAAACAAAAGUGUAUAAACAAAUGAAUUGUUGAUAACUUAGUUAUUGACCUGGAGACUGGUAGCUUAUUAAAGAAACUCCGUGUUACUCAUUCCUGGAGUUGGGGGUUUCUGUAGGCACUUUAUUUCUCCACUUUCAAGAGCUUGGGCUUGGCCCAAAUCUUAGACUGUCCAAUUCUGCCUCUAUUACCAAUUUAAAUCUAUGGCUUGAACCUGUGCACUGAAAAUCAAAUCCUUUAAAAAGAAAGAGGAGAAGAAGAAGCAAAAAAGAAAGAAAAAACACUUAUUAGAAGCCCUAGUCAUUUUUUGGCUUUCUGUUUUGUUGCUGUCCAUUGAAGACUUUGAACAUGCCGCCUUAAUAAAUGUAUUAAAAUUGAAAAAAGA
rnacentral:lncRNA from 1 species